AAAUGCAAAUCUAUUAUCAUUCCAGCUGAAGAUGUAACCUGGCCAGGGAAUGACCUGAACCAAAGUUAAUAAUUGUUAAUUAAUAUAAAUCAAUGCAAUAGCCAUGUGAAGUGAUGUUAUUUCUUAUGUUUUAGUUUUUUCCUGGAAAAACUCUCCAAAUACUGACAUGAAAGGCGUCAUAUAUGACAAGAAGGACAACAGUUUACAGGUGCAGCGAGGGGGCUACUGGGUCGUGUAUUGCCAACUGCGUUUAAACGUUCCAACGGAUGUUCCAGAUGGCGAUUUUUUUUGCAACAUCCAAAAAAAGGAGGGAAACGAUUGGGGUGUCAUCAGACUGAGUUUAUAAAUACUGGAGAGAUUAUACCUUUAUCUGUGACGAAAAGACUACCUAUCUGGGGACCGCAGUCGGCAUUCCAAAUCAACGUCAACAUAUAAAAACUGAAAGAAUGCAUGUACAUGUAGCAAACGGCUAAAGAGAGGUCAAGUUAACAAAUGUUUUCGCAAAAAUUCUCUCUAAAAUAACCAUGUGUGGUCAGAAAUAAAUGUGAUGGAUACUUGUAUAAUUAACCGUCAUAUAAUGAUACUGAGAUAUAUAAAUAUGUAAUACACGUGUAUAUUUGACUGUCAUAUCAUGAAAUUGGAAAGUUACAAUAGCAAUGUUUAAUGGUUCUCAGUUUACAAUAAUAUUCAUUUAAUUCAUGUUUGUGAUUCAUUACAUAUUUGGCCGUUUUAUAUUAUCAAUAUUCGAUAAAUGUAUACUACAUUUCAUAUGACACAGUGGUUUGUCAUCAAUGAUUGAUUAUAAAUUCAUUUAAUUUUUUUAAUGUUUCUUCUUUUAGUUUUUUUUUUUAAGUUGAUUAAGCUGUUGGGAAUUUUAGAAAAUAAUUAUAUUGCCCAGUAGCUAGUUUGAUUUAUUCUUUAUCUUUCAAGGAACGCUCCAGGCUUUCGUAGAUUGCAUAUGGAUAUGCACAAUAUAUGUAUCGUAAUUAUACCAAUGCCGCCUCUUUUGAACAUUUAUAUUAUAUUAUAUUAUAUUCAUCUCGCUAUAAAAAUGUCAUCUCUCUGUAUAAAUAGUAUUUGAGAGAAACGUGUAAAGUAGAGAAAUAAAAUAAUUUUAUCAAACA